rnacentral:rRNA from 1 species
GACGAACGCUGGCGGCGUGCCUAAUACAUGCAAGUAGAACGCUGAAGGAGGAGCUUGCUCUUCUGGAUGAGUUGCGAACGGGUGAGUAACGCGUAGGUAACCUGCCUGGUAGCGGGGGAUAACUAUUGGAAACGAUAGCUAAUACCGCAUAAGAGUAGAUGUUGCAUGACAUUUGCUUAAAAGGUGCAAUUGCAUCACUACCAGAUGGACCUGCGUUGUAUUAGCUAGUUGGUGGGGUAACGGCUCACCAAGGCGACGAUACAUAGCCGACCUGAGAGGGUGAUCGGCCACACUGGGACUGAGACACGGCCCAGACUCCUACGGGAGGCAGCAGUAGGGAAUCUUCGGCAAUGGACGGAAGUCUGACCGAGCAACGCCGCGGGAGUGAAGAAGGUUUUCGGAUCGUAAAGCUCUGUUGUAAGAGAAGAACGAGUGUGAGAGUGGAAAGUUCACACUGUGACGGUAGCUUACCAGAAAGGGACGGCUAACUACGUG